rnacentral:rRNA from 1 species
UACGUAGGGUGCAAGCGUUGUCCGGAAUUAUUGGGCGUAAAGAGCUCGUAGGCGGUCUGUCGCGUCGGCUGUGAAAACCCGGAGCUCAACUCCGGGCCUGCAGUCGAUACGGGCAGGCUAGAGUUCGGUAGGGGAGACUGGAAUUCCUGGUGUAGCGGUGAAAUGCGCAGAUAUCGGGAGGAACACCUGUAGCGAAGGCGGCACUCUGGGCCGGUACUGACGCUGAGGAGCGAAAGCGUGGGGAGCAAACAGG